rnacentral:rRNA from 1 species
UACAGGGGGGGCAAGCGUUGUUCGGAAUUACUGGGCGUAAAGAGCUCGUAGGUGGUUUGUCGCGUUGUUCGUGAAAACUCACAGCUCAACUGUGGGCGUGCGGGCGAUACGGGCAGACUGGAGUACUGCAGGGGAGACUGGAAUUCCCGGUGUAGCGGUGGAAUGCGCAGAUAUCAGGAGGAACACCGGUGGCGAAGGCGGGUCUCUGGGCAGUAACUGACGCUGAGGAGCGAAAGCGUGGGGAGCGAACAGG